AGACAAUAGAGUUACCUCAUUUUCAAGAUAAGUAAUAAUAGAUAAAAGCUUCUCUUUUUCAGCCUGUAGUUGAGUUAUGAUUCUCUUAUGCUCUUCUCCUGUCUUACACACCUCUUCACUUCUGACACAAAGCUCUUUGUCGGAAGCAACCAAUUCUUCAUAAGAGACAUCCUCAUCACAAGAAUCUUCAUCAGAUUCAUAUCUACCAGUGAAAGUUGUAAC
rnacentral:lncRNA from 1 species